rnacentral:rRNA from 1 species
UAGAGUUUGAUCCUGGCUCAGAGUGAACGCUGGCGGCGUGCCUAAUACAUGCAAGUCGAACGAUGAAGCUCUAGCUUGCUAGAGUGGAUUAGUGGCGCACGGGUGAGUAAUGCAUAGAUAACAUGCCCUUUAGUCUAGGAUAGCCAUUGGAAACGAUGAUUAAUACUGGAUACUCCUUACGAGGGAAAGUUUUUCGCUAAAGGAUUGGUCUAUGUCCUAUCAGCUUGUUGGUGAGGUAAUGGCUCACCAAGGCUAUGACGGGUAUCCGGCCUGAGAGGGUGAACGGACACACUGGAACUGAGACACGGUCCAGACUCCUACGGGAGGCAGCAGUAGGGAAUAUUGCUCAAUGGGGGAAACCCUGAAGCAGCAACGCCGCGUGGAGGAUGAAGGUUUUCGGAUUGUAAACUCCUUUUGUUAGAGAAGAUAAUGACGGUAUCUAACGAAUAAGCACCGGCUAACUCCGUGCCAGCAGCCGCGGUAAUACGGAGGGUGCAAGCGUUACUCGGAAUCACUGGGCGUAAAGAGCGCGUAGGCGGGAUAGCAAGUCAGAUGUGAAAUCCUAUGGCUUAACCAUAGAACUGCAUUUGAAACUGUUAUUCUAGAGUAUGGGAGAGGUAGGUGGAAUUCUUGGUGUAGGGGUAAAAUCCGUAGAGAUCAAGAGGAAUACUCAUUGCGAAGGCGACCUGCUAGAACAUAACUGACGCUGAUGCGCGAAAGCGUGGGGAGCAAACAGGAUUAGAUACCCUGGUAGUCCACGCCCUAAACGAUGAAUGCUAGUUGUUGUGGAGCUUGUCUCUGCAGUAAUGCAGCUAACGCAUUAAGCAUUCCGCCUGGGGAGUACGGUCGCAAGAUUAAAACUCAAAGGAAUAGACGGGGACCCGCACAAGCGGUGGAGCAUGUGGUUUAAUUCGAAGAUACACGAAGAACCUUACCUAGGCUUGACAUUGAUAGAAUCCGCUAGAGAUAGUGGAGUGCUAGCUUGCUAGAACUUGAAAACAGGUGCUGCACGGCUGUCGUCAGCUCGUGUCGUGAGAUGUUGGGUUAAGUCCCGCAACGAGCGCAACCCUCGUCCUUAGUUGCUAACUAUUCGGUAGAGCACUCUAAGGAGACUGCCUUCGCAAGGAGGAGGAAGGUGAGGAUGACGUCAAGUCAUCAUGGCCCUUACGCCUAGGGCUACACACGUGCUACAAUGGGAAGCACAAAGAGAUGCAAUAUUGUGAAAUGGAGCAAAUCUAUAAAACUUCUCUCAGUUCGGAUUGUAGUCUGCAACUCGACUACAUGAAGCUGGAAUCGCUAGUAAUCGUAAAUCAGCUAUGUUACGGUGAAUACGUUCCCGGGUCUUGUACUCACCGCCCGUCACACCAUGGGAGUUGUAUUCGCCUUAAGUCGGAAUGCCAAACUGGCUACCGCCCACGGCGGAUGCAGCGACUGGGGUGAAGUCGUAACAAGGUAGCCGUA